rnacentral:rRNA from 1 species
GAAGGGGAUUGCCUCAGUAGCGGCGAGUGAAGCGGCAAGAGCUCAGAUUUGAAAUCGUGCUUUGCGGCACGAGUUGUAGAUUGCAGGUUGGAGUCUGUGUGGAAGGCGGUGUCCAAGUCCCUUGGAACAGGGCGCCCAGGAGGGUGAGAGCCCCGUGGGAUGCCGGCGGAAGCAGUGAGGCCCUUCUGACGAGUCGAGUUGUUUGGGAAUAA